rnacentral:rRNA from 1 species
GACAGAGGUGGCUAGCGUUGUUCGGAUUCAUUGGGUGUAAAGGGUGCGUAGGCGGUUUGGAAAGUCAGAUGUGAAAGCCCACAGCUCAACUGUGGAACUGCAUCUGAAACUUCUGAACUUGAGUGCGAGAGAGGUAAAGGGAAUUCCCGGUGUAAGGGUGAAAUCUGCAGAGAUCGGGAGGAACACCAGUAGCGAAGGCGCUUUACUGGCUCGUAACUGACGCUGAGUGCACGAAGGCAUGGGGAGCAAACGGG